rnacentral:rRNA from 1 species
UACGUAGGGCGCAAGCGUUAUCCGGAAUUAUUGGGCGUAAAGGGUGCGUAGGCGGUUUGGUAAGUCUGAUGUGAAAUCUAUGGGCUCAACUCAUAGUCUGCAUCGGAAACUGCCGGGCUUGAGUGUGGGAGAGGUGAGUGGAAUUCCUGGUGUAGCGGUGAAAUGCGUAGAUAUCAGGAGGAACACCUGUGGCGAAAGCGGCUCACUGGACCAUAACUGACGCUGAUGCACGAAAGCUAGGGGAACAAACAGG